AGCAAGCCGCAUUCUGAAAAAACAAAUAGGGUGUGACAAAUGUUUUCAAAAUUAGAAAUGAUACAAAAUUAUCAUUAUUAUGACCAUCGCCCCGCGAAGCUAAUUUGUUGUGAUAAACUAUUUGGCAAACCAUAGCAGCAUCAUCCAUGGGAAAAACUUACUGAAAAAGAGAAAGAAAUAGUCGCUACGGCCAAAUUUUUACAGAUCGUCGUCAAGAUAUGUUGGUACCAUUGCCAACUUUUCACAGGCAUUAUGGGUGGUUUACGCAUUUGUCUUAUGCAGCAAAAACGUUAAUGGAGGAAACAAUGGAUUAGCCCUCGAAGAUGAAGUUGUCUCAAUUUACAGCAAAAACUUCACAAAUAUUCCCAAGGACAGGGAGCCAUUUUAUGUAAAGGUUCAUCGAUGUGUACUCAACAUGAAAUACGACGGUUACAAUGUUCCAGGUCUCGAAUAUUAUCCCCAACCCACAAAAAUGAAAGAAAUUGAGAUUGUUGUGCCUGAUUUAAAAAACUACAAGAAGUUUUAUAAAUAUAUUGUCUACGAUCACAUUUCUUGUUACUGGAAGGAGUGGUCAGGCCAGCCAAUGAAUUUUGAUUUACACAAGAACCUUACUUCAAACGAAAUUAACGAAACAGAAUUUAAAUCUAAGGUUAAAUACAAUCCACCAAACG